ensembl:lncRNA
GUCUGGAAUGGUGGUGGCUAAAAGACAAGGAAGGGAAAAGCCCGCAAAAAUGGAACAAAGGAAGUUCCGAGGACUGGAGUGAGGACCUCAGCCACCACCAUUCUGAACUCCCAGAGAAGGCAAUGGCACCCCAUUCCAGUACUCUUGCCUGGAAAAUCCCAUGGAUGGAGGAGCCUGGUGGGCUGCAGUCCAUGGGGUCGCGAAGAGUUGGACACAACUCAGCGACUUCACUUUCACUUUUCACUUUCAUGCAUUGGAGAAGGAAAUGGCAAACCACUCCAGUGUUCUUGCCUGGAGAAUCCCAGGGACGGGGGAGCCUGGUGGGCUGCCAUCUAUGGGGUUGCACAAAGUCGGACAUGACUGAAGUGACUUAGCAGCAGCAGCAGCAGCAGAAUUCUGAACUCCUGUUUCCUAUUCUAACUACCUAACAGAGACAUUGCAAUAACUUCAGGCUCUUGCGGUGGAUAAAGAUUCUUGCUGCAAGGAAAUAACAAUGCCAUCAACUAUUUCAACACUGCUGCUGACAAGUUCAAGACACCUCAGACAGCUAAACCCUAUUUCUGUAAGUAGACUAAAACGUCCAAUCCAAGAUUAUGGUGGCGUCUUGAGAUUCAAGGUUGAAUUCCUUCUUUCUUUCAGCAGUUCAUAUUGAAUUGAGUACGUACUCUGUGCUGGACUCUGGAGGCCCAGGAAUGAAAAGACAGAUAUACUCUUUGACUUCAUGGCCCAAAUUAGUAGCAAUGGUGUAACUACACAAGCAAAUAGGAUGCAGUUUGAUUAGUUCAACAUGAAAGAUAAUGUCUUGUAUUUUAGAAUGAUCCCUAGCGAGGGCCUCUAAUGCAGUUCAGGAAGAG